AGAGAGAGAAAGUUGUUGUUCUUCCUCGAUUCCAAAUUCAAUUUCACAUUUUAAUAAAUAACUGAUUUUGCUCUUUGGUUUGAUUUAAAACAUUUAAAAAUUAGAUUUAGGAUGUUGAGAGUUUGGAGGUGAAAGUGGAACUUGGAAAGGUAGAGGUGUUGUUGUUUGGACUUAAGCGAAGGGAUUGUUGGAUUGGGUUGAAGUUGUGGUUAUGGUGGCGGUGGAUGUCACUAGUGAUGUUACGGAGAAAGAAGAAGAAAGGUUGUGUAGCGUCUGUUUCUCAGUGUGAGAGAUAGAGCAGAUAAGUGGGAUUGAAGAGUGACAAAGAAGAAAUGGGUAAGAUGUACUGUUAUUUAUUUUCUGAAUUAUGUAUGAAGGCGAUGAAUAUUAAUGAACAUCAUGAUGAACAAGAAGAUGGG
rnacentral:lncRNA from 1 species